rnacentral:rRNA from 1 species
CACUGUCACUCCUACGGGGAGGCAGCAGUGGGGGAAUAUUGCACAAUGGGCGCAAGCCUGAUGCAGCCAUGCCGCGUGUGUGAAGAAGGCCUUCGGGUUGUAAAGCACUUUCAGUCGUGAGGAAGGUAGUGUAGUUAAUAGCUGCAUUAUUUGACGUUAGCGACAGAAGAAAGCACCGGCUAACUCCGUGCCAGCAGCCGCGGUAAUACGGAGGGUGCGAGCGUUAAUCGGAAUUACUGGGCGUAAAGCGCAUGCAGGUGGUUUGUUAAGUCAGAUGUGAAAGACCCGGGGCUCAACCUCGGAAUAGCAUUUGAAACUAGGCAGACUAGAGUACUGUAGAGGGGGGUAGGAAUUUCAGGUGUAGCGGUGAAAUGCGUAGAGAUCUGAAGGAAUACCGGUGGCGAAGGCGGCCCCCUCGGACAGAUACUGACACUCAGAUGCGAAAGCGUGGGGAGCAAACAGGAUUAGAUACCCUGGUAG